AAAUUGAAGAGUUUGAUCAUGGCUCAGAUUGAACGCUGGCGGCAGGCCUAACACAUGCAAGUCGAACGGUAACAGGAAGCAGCUUGCUGCUUUGCUGACGAGUGGCGGACGGGUGAGUAAUGUCUGGGAAACUGCCUGAUGGAGGGGAAACUGCCUGAUGGAGGGG
rnacentral:rRNA from 1 species